GAAUUUUACUGUGGCAUUAGAUGGCUCAGCCUGCCUCAUCAUCUGAGAACAAUCUGAUAACAGCAUCUUCUUGACAACUAAAUUGCAAACUCUUUUGGACAGAGACUUUGCUUUUAACUGUGGUCAGAGCCUGUCACAGUUGUGGCCUAUGCUUGGCUAGGGAACAGUCACUAAGGGAAUACAAAAGUAUGAAGAACUAUAAUUAACUGCUUGGAAAAAAAAAUAAAUCAGGAUAGUGAUAAAUUCAUACUAGUUCUAAAAAUUCCAUAUUUAUAAAAUCCAGAUAUUUUACUCUCUGAAUGCUGAGUUUUUUUGAGAGGUUACAAGAUCCUCUGCUGUUAAUUUUACAGCCCAGCCUUGGACCAGAUCAAAUGGUGAUAGACCUCACGGACCCCAACCGGCCCCGGUUCACUUUACAAGAGCUCCGAGAUGUAUUGCAGGAGAGGAACCAGCUGAAAGCUCAGCUUCUGGUGGUGCAAGAGGAGUUACAGUGCUAUAAAAGUGGGAUCAUUUCACAGAAAAGGGACCAAACUGAAGAACUGGAAAAAGAAGUCAGUGGCAGAAGUGCUGGCACCAGCAAGGACAAUGAAGAGAAGACAAUCAUCAAACGUCUGUUUUCUUUUAAACAUGGAAAAUGAGCAUCCUAAAGGACUUCACUGCUGCUGGUGAGAAUGGCACUGAUGAGCCUCAGAGGCGUUGGGAAAGACAAUGAUUGGAAGCAGCAGCAUCACUCCUGCUGUAGAGAAUGAGCAAUCUCAUUAACAUCAUGUUGUAUAAUAUUCUUUCAGAAUAGAUUUUACUCUGCUUUUUCAGAAACUGUUUCAGAAACAAUUUUUGUAUUUCGUACUGUCAGACGUUACCCACAUGUAGAAAAUAAAAUGUUUAUACAAAGCUGGGGUUUAUUCUUAUUAA